UACAGAGGUGCCGAGCGUUAGGCGGAAUCACUGGGCUUAAAGCGUGUGUAGGCGGAUGCCUAAGUACCUUGUGAAAUCCCACGACUUAACCGUGGAGCUGCUCGGUAUACUGGGUGUCUUGAGCCACUUAGGGGCUACCGGAACAAAUGGUGGAGCGGUGAAAUGCGUAGAUAUCAUUUGGAACGCCAAUGGUGAAAACAGGUAGCUGGGAGUGUGCUGACGCUGAGACACGAAAGCCAGGGGAGCGAACGGG
rnacentral:rRNA from 1 species